AACACUUCAAGUAAGAGCAGGUCUCCUGAGGUCUGACCCAGUCCUGACAUAACCCUCAAUGCCUUAAGACGUCGAAAGUAACUGAGGGCCCAGGAGCUGAGAGGUUUCUAUACCGAGGACUGGGGACUUUGGGGUCCUGGAUAUUUACCCAAAUAAAUAAGGAAACAGUUUCUAAAACCUGCGCCAGUUCAGAUAGCUGGUGAGUUUCGGAGCUGGGAAGGGAAGCUCAGCAAUCCGGCCCCAGGCUCUGUGACAACUCCAAUUCUGAUGCUACCUAUGCUACCUAUUAAGAAGGACAGGUGUUCAACAACAAACAAAAUCACCAUGCUCAGUAAGCAAAUGAAGGAAAAGUCAAACAACAAAGAGAUGCCUUUUUCUGUUAGGAACUGACUCAUAUCACACAUACAAUAAAAAUAUCCAUAAUAUUCCCAGA